GUCUAUGGACACACCACCCUGAACGCGCCCGAUCUCUUCUGAUCUCGGAAGCUAAGCAGGGUCGGGCCUGGUUAGUACUUGGAUGGGAGAGGAAAUUAUUUGGGUCACCUUCAUUA
ensembl:rRNA 5S_rRNA 5S ribosomal RNA